CGAUUCGAGUAUGCAUUUUUAAACAAUUUCAAAGGUAAUUCGAAGGUCAAAUGGGAGGCAAUCUGAGUUUACCCCAUGCUAAAGGUUCCUAUGCAAUAUACUCGUAUAUAAUAUAUAAUAUGUAUUAUGUAUAUAUACACCCAUAUAUAAUUAACCCUUUUUUAUAGUUCGAUUAUUUACUAAAACUGUUAUUUUUAUGUGUAACUAAUAAAACUAUAUAGGCAAUCAGGUUUUAACGGCUUUUCUGAGCUCUAUCGCAUGAUAUACAGUAAAUAUAUAAUAUUAUUAAACAAAAUUACCAUACACGAACUCGAGCUCACAGGUUGUUAAAUACUGCAUAAUAAUAGUGCAGUUACUACCUACAUAUUAUGAAAUAGUAUUUAAUACCUACGUUUAAAAUUAGUUCUCAUUGUGAAUAAUAUUGUAUAGUACAGAGAUUCAUUUGUUCUACGGUAAAUUUCAACUGCUGCAGUAAGUACAGUCUGUACAAUUUCAUUCGAUUAAAAGCUUGCUGGUUAAAAAUUAAUUAGGUAGGUCAAUUAAAUUAUAAAUACCGGGCUUUGAGACGUCAUCAUCAUAAUGUAGAUGCUAACUUAUUAUAUGCGGG